rnacentral:rRNA from 1 species
GACGAACGCUGGCGGCGUGCUUAACACAUGCAAGUCGAACGGAAAGGCCCUGCUUGCAGGGUACUCGAGUGGCGAACGGGUGAGUAACACGUUGGUGAUCUGCCCUGCACUUCGGGAUAAGCCUGGGAAACUGGGUCUAAUACCGGAUAGGAGCCAUUUUUAGUGUGAUGGUUGGAAAGUUUUUUCGGUGUAGGAUGAGCUCGCGGCCUAUCAGCUUGUUGGUGGGGUAAUGGCCUACCAAGGCGGCGACGGGUAGCCGGCCUGGGAGGGUGGACGGCCACAUUGGGACUGAGAUACGGCCCAGACUCCGACGGGAGGCAGCAGUGGGGAAUAUUGCACAAUGGGCGCAAGCCUGAUGCAGCGACGCCGCGGGGGGGAUGACGGCCUUCGGGUUGUAAACUCCUUUCGCUAGGGACGAAGCUUUUUGUGACGGUACCUAGAUAAGAAGCACCGGCUAACUACGUG